rnacentral:lncRNA from 1 species
GUUCGGUCAUUCUCUUAUUUAUUCAACAAUCCCAGAGCCUCUGUAAGUUCCCAGCUCUGGGCCCAGCAGCCCUCAGAGGGCUCAUGGUCUGGUGGUAGCGGUAGGCUCAGGUAGGACAGUGUGGGAAAGACAGAGGAAGGAAUGCUGACUCUGCAAGGUCAGGGGUCUGAGUCAUCAGGGGAGGCCUCCCCGAGGAAUCAGCCUUCUCCAGGCAGAGAGGGAGUAGGGGAUGUGAGGUGGUCCAGAGGCCUGGCAUGCUCAGAAGGUGAGUGGGCGAGGCCAGGCUGGGGACAGGCUGGGGGCAGACUCCUAAGGAGGUGUUGGAAGCAGCCCAUGCCUGGUGUCGGAGGUUUUCUCUCAGCUGGUGCUCCAGGGAGGCAGGGUUCCUGAGCACUGCGGAGAAGGCUUCAAUGCUGAUCCUGAAAGUCAUGGAGCAGGUCACACAAUUGGGUCCUGGGGAGGAGGCUCCUGAAUCCUGCAAGGAGGCAGCCUGGCCAGGAUGAGGCAGGGAAGAAGACUGGGCGGGGGCAGCACCACCAGGGACUCUCGGACAGCCAGAGGGAAGGCUGGAGUCACAUCUGAGGGAGAGGGUGGUCUAGGGGGUUCGGCUGGCAAGGACCACUGGCCCAGGUUGGACUGUCCACUGAAGAGUAGCCGGACCUGGAACCAUCUAGAGAGGCAGGGCAGGUUGGAGGCUGGAAGCGUUGAUGAGAAGGCCUGUGCCUGUGGUGGGGAGCACAGACACAGAAGGGUCCGGAGAGGUUUUGGCUCUGGGGAUGAAGGAGGAAAUUGGGGCCAGGACUGGUGAUGUUGACUGAAAUGGUGGUGGUGAGGAAGGUAUUGGUGACAAACACAGAAGUGCGGGUGAUGGGGAUGAGAGUGGGGACAAUCGUGGCAGUGACAGAGAUGAUGACUGUGAAGAGGGUGCUGUAGAAGGCAAUGGCGACAUUAAAGGACCACAGGGCCCUGGGCCCAGACUGGACAUGAGACUAUUUCUGGGUGACCCUGAGGCCACUGUGAGGGCUUGAGAGUCCGUGUCCAGCCUGACCACCCUGGAGCUACAGAGAGAGGAGGCUCUGUGGCAGCUAACGUGUUAUCCAUCAAUGUAGACACAAGUGGGCCCUGGGGUGCUGAGGACACAGCCUUCUCUGGGGCCCUUGGAGAUAGAAGUGUGGAAGCCCCAGGCCUGACGGUGCUUGCUGCUGAUGUAGAUGGCUUACAGGCCUUGGGGCUGGAGGUGGGCCUGCCCAUGGGCCAGGCCAGCAGUUGAGGGAUCCAGAUGUGGGUGCAGCUGGCUGCCAGGUUGGCCCAGAGGUAACAGAUAUCCUCAGGAUUGCAGGGGCAGGAGCACAGACUGUCACGGACAAGCCAGGAAGCUCACUGGACUUUGGCCCAACCCCAAGAUGCCUUGGGCCAGGAGAAGCCUGCUACAGUGCUGUGGCAGCAAUCUCUGGAGAGCCAGGGACCAAGAUCUUCUCUGCAGGUCCAGACACAUCGGACGCUGGCUGGGACUUGGGGACCCUGUGGGCUGCAGGCUUGGCCACUGAUGAUACAACUGGUCUUGGUGUGGCCCUGCCUGAGGCCCCAGCAGUUCCCAAAUGGGCAGGCUGGUCUGAGUGGGGACCCAAAGCCUGGGGCAAGGCUAGAGGAGCUUCCUGGUCCCCGGAGGUUCUUAUGCCAGGAGUGCCCCCUGCCCUCUCAGCUGAGGGAGAGGCUCCGAGAAGGAAUGACACCAAGGGUUUCAAUGACAGGAUUAUCUUCUCUCUGCUGCCUCGCAAAGCAGAUGUGCCAGAGGCCAAGGGAGACCGUUCAGGCCUCUGUGAGCAGGAAGAAGGGGCAGGGCAGAAGCCGAGACCACCAGGACAGCUGCAAACCAGGAGAAGCUUGUUCUGCCAGCCACCCUGUCGGGUGGGACUGGCCCACAGCCUCUCAGACACCUGCCUCCCUGCCACCUCCCUCCUUUAGGGGGCCUGAGGAGAUCCAAACCCUGGCCCCAGGGGCCGGCCUGGUGGCGCAGCGGUUAAGUUCGCACCUUCCGCUUCUCGGCGGCCCAGGGUUCGCCUGUUCGGAUCCCGGGUACGGACAUGGCGCCGCUUGGCACGCCAUGCUGUGGUAGGUGUCCCACAUCAGCCAGGAGAAUCCGAGCAGCUGUAAGCCAUCGCCCCCCAUGCUGAAGGCUUUUCCUCAGGCUUCCAAGUCUCCAGAAUCAGGCAACAGAUGCAAAUGCACCUUCUCAGCGCCCCCUUCAAGAAAGGAAUCGUUGCCCAGCUGUGAAUUGUGGUUAGCCAACAGCCCCCAGCUACCCCUGAGCUGCUCUGCCUGGCCCCUUUGCACAGCUCAGGCAUGAGGCCCUGCUGCGCCGACCCGCCUACUGGCCUCCAGCAAAGACUUCCUCCUCUUGGGCUACAGACCCUGUUGAAUGGGGACCUUACAUCUGCCCCAUGGCCUGAGAGGUUAUGGACCUGGAAACCUAUUGAGGAAGAAUUAAAGUCCUGUCUAGGGGCUGGCCCCAUGGCCGAGUGGUUAAGUUCACGUGCUCCACUUCCACAGCCCAGGGUUUCGCAGGUUCGGAUCCUGGGAGUGGACAUGGCACCGCUCAUUAAGCCACACUGAGGUGGCGUCCCACACAGCACAACCAGGAGGACCUACAACUAGAAUAUACCACUGUGUACUGGGGCGCUCUGGGGAGAAGAAGAAGGAAAAAGAAAAUUGACAACAGAUGUUAGCUCAGGGCCAAUCUUUAAAAAACAAACACACACCAGUCCUGUCCCGUCUUCAGGUGUGAGCUGGGGUGCUCUUCAUGGAGAUGGCGAGAGUCUCAAUGGUGGUGAUGGUCCCGGUGGGGUGGGGGUGUUGGUGGUGCUGGUGAUGGGUAGGGUGGCUGUGUGACAGGGGCAGUCACAGUAGAGUUGUAAUGAUGGCGGAGGUGCUAACCACGGCAGGAGCUCUGUGAGCCCAGGUGGGAUGGGACUUAGUGGGAGGCAGUGACAUUAGCAGCCACACCCCAUCCCCUGUCCCAGCUCCUGAGGCAGUUCAGUGCCAUUCCAUCAGGCCGGGUAGGGAGUGUGGAGGAGGGCAGAUCAGAGAACAGCCCUCAGCUUGUUACCCACACCGGGCCCUUGUGGAAUCCUGUUCAAAGGCCCAGACUUGGGAUGUUGAGUAUGGAAUUGAGUGGGCUUUGGAUAGAGGGGUCCUUCCCAUCCAGCCCAAGAG